UACAGAGGUCUCAAGCGUUGUUCGGAUUCAUUGGGCGUAAAGGGUGCGUAGGCGGCGCGGUAAGUCGGGUGUGAAAUCUUGGAGCUUAACUCCGAAACUGCAUUCGAUACUGCCGUGCUUGAGGACUGGAGAGGAGACUGGAAUUUACGGUGUAGCGGUGAAAUGCGUAGAUAUCGUAAGGAAGACCAGUGGCGAAGGCGGGUCUCUGGACAGUUCCUGACGCUGAGGCGCGGAAUGGCCAGGGGAGCAAACGGG
rnacentral:rRNA from 1 species